GCUUCCUGCUCCCGGGGGAGGGAAGCCUGGCCAGUCGGGGAUCUACCCGGUCAACCCCUGGCAUCCAAACUUCCACUCUUCCAAUGGGGGAGAAGGGAGGCAGAACCCCAAGUCCUCAAGCCUGGGGCAGCUUCACUGGGUCCAGCCUUCAGCUGGUUUCUGGUCCCCCUAUCCUGGCAUCCGUACCGAGGGCUUUCUUGGAAUCUCAGAAAUACAUUGUCAGAGGGAAACUGAGGCACAGAGGAGGAAGAAACAGCCAGCUGAGGUUCACGCCCACCUUGACUGAGCAGCAGCAGUCAACUGCAUGGAAUGUUCAUUCUAUGCUCCGCCCAGGCCUAAACCCUCCCCUGGCUUAGCAGAUACCCAAGCAAUAAAUCAGAGAAUUGGGAAAUCCACCAUGAG
ensembl:antisense Gm16174 predicted gene 16174